rnacentral:lncRNA from 1 species
AAAACGAAAAAAAAACAAAAAACGAAAAAAAACGAAGAAAAAAAAAAUAAAAAUAAAAAAAAUAAAAAUAAAUAAAUAAAAUAAUAAUAAAUAAAUAAAAGAAAAAAUCUCAGACUUGGACCUCUCUCAUUUGAGCCCACAAAGCCAUGAAAAUCAGGUUAUAAAAGAGGGAGAACAGAUAGAAAAAGGAAGGGAAGCAAAACAC